CGCGUAGGCGGCCUGAUAAGUCGGGGGUGAAAGUCAGCGGCUCAACCGCUGGACUGCCUUCGAGACUGUCGGGCUCGAGCAUGGUAGAGGCUGGCGGAAUUCCCGGUGUAGCGGUGGAAUGCGUAGAGAUCGGGAAGAACAUCGGUGGCGAAGGCGGCCAGCUGGGCCAUUGCUGACGCUGAGGCGCGACAGCGUGGGGAGCAAACA
rnacentral:rRNA from 1 species